CAAUAAGCAAAAUAAGGGCGUAUGGGGAUGCCUAGGCUCUCAGAGGCGAUGAAGGGCGUGAUAAGCUGCGAAAAGCUACGGGGAUCGGCACACACGAAUUGAUCCGUAGAUACCCGAAUGGGGCAACCCACUAUGUUGAAGACAUAGUACACCGAUAGGUGGGCAAACCCGCUGAACUGAAACAUCUAAGUAGGCGGAGGAGAAGAAAACAAAAGUGAUUCCGUAAGUAGUGGCGAGCGAACGCGGAUUAGCCCAAACCAAUGUUGUUACGGCAAUGUUGGGGUUGUAGGACCACGAUAUUUUAUGUACACGGAACCGGAACUGACUGGAAAGUCGGGCCAUAGAGGGUGAUAGCCCCGUAUGGGUAACAAGUAUAAUAGAUAGUGGUAUCCUGAGUAGGGCGGGGCACGUGAAACCCUGUCUGAAUUUGGCGGGACCAUCCGCUAAGGCUAAAUACUCCUGAGAGACCGAUAGUGAACCAGUACCGUGAGGAAAGGUGAAAAGAACCGUGAAUAACGGAGUGAAAUAGAUCCUGAAACCAUACGCUUACAAGCGGUCGGAGCCCUUUCGUGGGGUGACGGCGUGCCUUUUGCAUAAUGAGCCUACGAGUUAACGUUGCUGGCAAGGUUAAGUGGUUAAGCCACGGAUCCGUAGCGAAAGCGAGUCUGAAUAGGGCGCUUUAGUCAGUAGUGUUAGACGCGAAACCGUGUGAUCUACCCAUGGGCAGGAUGAAGCGCUGGUAACACAGUGUGGAGGUCCGAACCGGUUGACGUUGAAAAGUCUUCGGAUGACCUGUGGGUAGGGGUGAAAGGCCAAUCAAACUCGGAAAUAGCUCGUACUCCCCGAAAUGCAUUUAGGUGCAGCGCUGGCGAUAGUUAUAUAGAGGUAGAGCUACUGAUUGGAUGCGGGGG
rnacentral:ncRNA from 1 species